rnacentral:rRNA from 1 species
GCCUAACACAUGCAAGUCGAACGAAGGCUUCGGCCUUAGUGGCGCACGGGUGCGUAACGCGUGGGAAUCUGCCCUUAGGUUCGGAAUAACAGCUGGAAACGGCUGCUAAUACCGGAUGAUGACGAAAGUCCAAAGAUUUAUCGCCUGAGGAUGAGCCCGCGUUGGAUUAGGUAGUUGGUGGGGUAAAGGCCUACCAAGCCGACGAUCCAUAGCUGGUCUGAGAGGAUGAUCAGCCACACUGGGACUGAGACACGGCCCAGACUCCUACGGGAGGCAGCAGUGGGGAAUAUUGGACAAUGGGCGAAAGCCUGAUCCAGCAAUGCCGCGUGAGUGAUGAAGGCCCUAGGGUUGUAAAGCUCUUUUACCCGGGAAGAUAAUGACUGUACCGGGAGAAUAAGCCCCGGCUAACUCCGUGCCAGCAGCCGCGGUAAUACGGAGGGGGCUAGCGUUGUUCGGAAUUACUGGGCGUAAAGCGCACGUAGGCGGCUUUGUAAGUCAGAGGUGAAAGCCUGGAGCUCAACUCCAGAACUGCCUUUGAGACUGCAUCGCUUGAAUCCAGGAGAGGUCAGUGGAAUUCCGAGUGUAGAGGUGAAAUUCGUAGAUAUUCGGAAGAACACCAGUGGCGAAGGCGGCUGA